rnacentral:lncRNA from 1 species
CCAUUUGGUAAUUUUUAAAGAAAUUUUGCCGUUUUUGGUUAUCUUGAAUACUAUUAUAGAUAGCGAUAAACUGUAGACAGCAAUAAUGUUCAGCAAAGUAAGAUCUACAAAUAAGUCAACAUGACCUAAAUUGUCAAUUGACCCCUUAAGGAGUUAUUGCCCUUUAUAGUCAAUUUUUAAUAAUUUUCAUUAAUUUGGUAAAUUUAUGUAAAUUUUUACCAAAUAUAGUUCUCUGUUACUAAUGGGCAAAGUUCAUUAUAGAUAUAAUUGUAAGAAGCAAAAUCGUUCAGUAAAGUAAGAACUUCAAACACAUCACCAUCACCAAAAUACAAUUUUGUCAUGAAUCCAUUUGUGUCCUUUGUUUGAUAUGCACAUAGACCAAGGUGAGCGACACAGGCUCUUUAGAGCCUCUAGUUUACAA